GACAGAGGGUGCAAACGUUGUUCGGAAUUACUGGGCGUAAAGGGCUCGUAGGCGGCCAACUAAGUCGGAUGUGAAAUCCCCAGGCUUAACCUGGGAACUGCAUCCGAUACUGGAUGGCUUGAAUCCGGGAGAGGGAUGCAGAAUUCCAGGUGUAGCGGUGAAAUGCGUAGAUAUCUGGAGGAAUACCGGUGGCGAAGGCGGCAUCCUGGACCGGCAUUGACGCUGAGUGAGCGAAAGCCAGGGGAGCAAACGGG
rnacentral:rRNA from 1 species